UUUCUGCAUGCCUGCCUUCCCUCAGUGUGACUGUUCUCCUGUUCUGAAAAUGGCCAUAACAAAACUCCCUGCUGUAAAACAAUCCCUGCUUCUCAAAGUAAAAAAUGUGGCACGAGGGCCAUGUGAUGUCCACAGCAGCAGGCAAUGCCCUGCACUGCUUAGCUAAGGCUCAUCCUUCUCCUUUCAAUGCAUCCCAUUGCUACCUACCCACGGAAUUCGACUGCUGUGCAGCAGCCCACAGCCAGACCACAGCUGCUGUCUGAGGGGAAAGGAUGUAUGGUUGCAGAUCUGCAAAGUAACCAUUCAGGAUUACUGCUGGGAUGAUCUGGAGUGGGACACACCAGCCAAAGAGCAGGAAUUUUCAGGUAUCAAAGCCUGACCAGGAUUUCACCUGCUGGCAGGAGUGAAGUUCCCUGUAUGUUAUCUCUGCUUCACUCAGUCACCCUGCCAAGGUCUCAAAGAGAUUGUAAUUGCUUGUAGAUACUGAAAACAGAGCUCUCCUGAUUUUUCUUAAGCUAAUCUCACUGAUACCUAUUACGGAAAGAGAACACAAGCAUUUCCAAUACAGAACAUUACAAUCCCUGCCUGAUUUGAUGUAAUAAAAUUUCUUUUGAUCUGUAUGGAUUUGUUCUCCGUUUAAAACACUGACAGUGACACUGAGACAUUAAUCCAGGUUUACAGCACCACAGCUGCAUGCGACAGUUUCCUAUGAUGAAGAAAUGACGAUGCAUCAACUACCCCACGGAAAAGUGUGUGACAGUGUGCCAAAUCAACUACACUGGUUAGGUAGCACUUCAAGGGGCAAUAUAAUGCAGAAGUGGUCUGGAGGUCCUCUUUUAGUGUCCCACUGAUGAUGCUUCUUCUCUGCCACAUAGAAAGAAAGUCAAGGCAAGAGCCAAGCAUUUCCUGGGAAAUUUCAGAAGAAAAUCUCAAGGAAGCACCACAGAACUGAGAGAUCAAGAUGUUUCUAAGUCCCAGUGGGAGCAUCCAGCCAGUAGAUUGAAAUACACAAUGAUGGAGCAUCCCCCACAUCUGCAAAUAGCCAAUCCAUCAGAAGC